rnacentral:rRNA from 1 species
AACGAACGCUGGCGGCAUGCCUAACACAUGCAAGUCGAACGACACCUUCGGGACUAGUUGCGCACGGGUGCGUAACGCGUGGGAACCUGCCCUUAGGUUCGGAAUACCUCUCCGAAAGGGGUGCUAAUACCGGAUAAUGUCUUCUGACACCAGAUUUAUCGCCUUUGGAGGGGCACGCGUUGGAUUAGCUUGUUGGUAGGGUAAAAGCCUACCACGGCGACGCUCCAUAGCUGGUCAGAGAGGAUGAUCAGCGACACUGGGGCUGGGACACGGUCCAGAAUCUUACGGGAGGCAGGAGAGGGGAAUAUAGGAAAAUGGGGUAAAUCAUGAACGAGUAAGGCCGGGUGAGUGAUGAAGGCCGGAGAGAAGUAAAGCUCGUUUAUCCGGGAUGAUAAUGACAGUACCGAGAGAAUAAGCACCGGCUAACUCCGUG